rnacentral:rRNA from 1 species
CCUACGGGUGGUAGCAGUGGGGAAUAUUGGACAAUGGGCGAAAGCCUGAUCCAGCCAUGCCGCGUGUGUGAAGAAGGCCUUCGGGUUGUAAAGCACUUUCAGUGGGGAAGAAAGCCUUGGGGCUAAUACCCUCGAGGAAGGACAUCACCCACAGAAGAAGCACCGGCUAACUCCGUGCCAGCAGCCGCGGUAAUACGGAGGGUGCGAGCGUUAAUCGGAAUUACUGGGCGUAAAGCGCGCGUAGGCGGUCUGAUAAGCCGGUUGUGAAAGCCCCGGGCUCAACCUGGGAACGGCAUCCGGAACUGUCAGGCUAGAGUGCAGGAGAGGAAGGUAGAAUUCCCGGUGUAGCGGUGAAAUGCGUAGAGAUCGGGAGGAAUACCAGUGGCGAAGGCGGCCUUCUGGACUGACACUGACGCUGAGGUGCGAAAGCGUGGGUAGCAAACAGGAUUAGAUACCCCUGUAGUC